GGUGAAUAUGNAUGGGAUCUGCCUGAUGAGGGAUACUACUGAACGGUAGCUAUACGCAUAUGUUACGGACAAGCGGGGAUCUCGGGCUCGCGCAUCGAUGAACUCUAUGGAUUAGCUUGUAGGUGAGUACGGUCACCUAGGCGAAGAUCCCUACUGGUCUGAGAGGAUGAUCAGCCACCUGGGACUGAGACACGGCAAACUCCUACGGGAGCCAGUGGGGAAUAUUGCACCAUGGGCGCCAGCCUGAUGCACCAUGCCGGGUGUAUGAAGAANGCCUUCGGGUUGUAAAGUACUUUCAGUCGGGAGGAAGGUGGUAAGGUUAAUAACCUUAUCAAUUGACGUUACCGACAGAAGAAGCACCGGCUAACUCCGUGCCAGCAGCCGCGGUAAUACGGAGGGUGCAACGUUAAUCGGAAUUAACUGGGCGUUAAGCGCACGCAGCGGGUUGAUUGAGUCAAUGUGAAAUCCCCGGGCUUAACCCGGGAAUUGCAUCUGAUACUGGUCAGCUAGAGUCUUGUAAAGGGGGGUAGAAUUCCACUGUGUANGCGGUGAAAUGCGUUAAAAAUGUGGAGAAUUAACCGGUUGGCCGAAAGGCGGGCA
rnacentral:rRNA from 1 species